UGAAAGACGCGCAUUUGUUAUCAUCAUCCCUUCUAUUAGAGAUGUUAAUUUGGCCACAGUGAUGUGGCCUUUUCU
rnacentral:sRNA from 5 species